ensembl:snRNA U6 U6 spliceosomal RNA
GUGCUUGCUUUGGCAGCACAAGUACUAAGAUCGGAACUAUACGUGAGAAGAUUAGCAUAGUCCCUGGGCAACGUUGAGAUGCAAAUUUGUGAAGAGUCCUGUAUUUUU